rnacentral:ncRNA from 1 species
UCCUUGGGGUGCCCCUUGCGGGGCUGAGAGGCGCACCCGCGCCAACCCAUCGAACCUGACCCGGGUGAUGCCGGCGGAGGGAAGGGG